rnacentral:rRNA from 1 species
UUACCAGCGUUUGACAUCCUAAUCGCGGAUUCCAGAGAUGGAUUCCUUCAGUUCGGCUGGAUUAGUGACAGGUGCUGCAUGGCUGUCGUCAGCUCGUGUCGUGAGAUGUUGGGUUAAGUCCCGCAACGAGCGCAACCCUCGUCCUUAGUUGCCAUCAUUCAGUUGGGCACUCUAAGGAAACUGCCGGUGAUAAGCCGGAGAAAGGUGGGGAUGACGUCAAGUCCUCAUGGCCCUUACACGCUGGGCUACACACGUGCUACAAUGGCGGUGACAGUGGGCAGCAACCGGGCGACCGGUAGCUAAUCUCCAAAAACCGUCUCAGUUCGGAUUGUUCUCUGCAACUCGAGAGCAUGAAGGCGGAAUCGCUAGUAAUCGCGGAUCAGCAUGCCGCGAUGAAUACGUUCCCAGGCCUUGUACACACCGCCCGUCACACCAUGGGAGUUGGAUUCACCCGAAGGCGUUGCGCUAACCUAGCAAUAGGAGGCAGGCGACCACGGUGGGAUUAGCGACUGGGGUGAAGUCG